rnacentral:rRNA from 1 species
GUGACGGAGAAUUAGGGUUCGAUUCCGGAGAGGGAGCCUGAGAAACGGCUACCACAUCUAAGGAAGGCAGCAGGCGCGCAAAUUACCCAAUUCUCAUUGAGAGAGGUAGUGAAGAUAAAUAACAAUACCGGUCCUUUUCAAGGUCUGGUAAUUGGAAUGAGUACAAUUUAAAUACCUUAACGAGGAUCCAUUGGAGGACAAGUCUGGUGCCAGCAGCCGCGGUAACACCAGCUCCAAUAGCGUAUAUUAAAGUCGCUGCAGUUAAAAAGCUCGUAGUUGGAUAUCUGGUAUGGAUGCCUGGCCCGCCUUACGUGUGUGCUGGUGCAACCAUACCAUCCUUCCGGAGGGUGCUUCAGCCCUUAACUGGGUUUGAAGUACGAUCUGGAUCUUUUACUUUGAAAAAAUUAGAGUGUUCAAAGCAGGCUUUUUGCUUGAAUACAUUAGCAUGGAAUAAUGGAAUAGGACUUCGGGUCCUUUUUGUUGGUUAUAGAUCCGAAGUAAUGAUUGAUAGGGUCAGUUGGGGGUGCUUGUAUUGGGCGGCCAGAGGUGAAAUUCUUGGAUUCGCUCAAGACAAACUUAUGCGAAAGCAUUCACCAAGGAUGUCUUCUUUAAUCAAGAACGAAAGUUGGGGGAUCGAAGACGAUCAGAUACCGUCGUAGUCUCAACCAUAAACGAUGCCAACUAAGGAUCAGCGGACGUUGUAUUCCAGACUCCGUUGGCACUUUACGAGAAAUCAAAGUCUUUGGGUUCCGGGGGGAGUCUAGUCGCAAGGCUGAAACUUAAAGGAAUUGACGGAAGGGCACCACAAGGCGUGGAGCCUGCGGCUUAAUUUGACCCAACACGGGAAAACUUACCAGGUCCGGACAUAGGCAGGAUUGUCAGAUUGCAGAUCUUUCUUGAUUCUAUGGAUGGUGGUGCAUGGCCGUUCUUGUUGGUGGAGUGAUUUGUCUGGUUAAUUCCGUUAACGAACGAGACCUCAGCCAGCUAAAUAGUCGGGCAAACAUUCGUGUUUGUACUUGCGACUUCUUAGAGGGACUGUCGGUUUAAAGCCGACGGAAGUGUGAGGCAAUAACAGGUCUGUGAUGCCCUUAGAUGUUCUGGGCUGCACGCGCGCUACACUGUUGCACACAGCGAGCAUUCACCCUUGACCGAUAGGUCUGGGUAAUCUUUUAAAGUGCAACGUGCUGGGGCUAGAUUAUUGCAAUUAUUAGUCUUCAACCAGGAAUGCCUAGUAAACGCGGGUCAUCAGCUCGCAUUGAUUACGUCCCUGCCCUUUGUACACACCGCCCGUCGCUCCUACCGAUUGAAUGAUCCGGUAAAAUCUCCGGACUGUGGGCGUUGGAUGGCAACAUCUCUUCGUCUGCGGGAAGUUGAUUAAACCUUAUCAUUUAGAGGAAGGAGAAGUCGAAACAAGGUU